UACGUAGGUGGCAAGCGUUGUCCGGAUUUAUUGGGUUUAAAGGGUGCGUAGGCGGUUUCCUAAGUCAGUUGUGAAAUACGGCAGCUUAACUGUCGAGGUGCAAUUGAUACUGGGACACUUGAGUACUGAUGAGGUAGGCGGAAUGGACGGUGUAGCGGUGAAAUGCUUAGAUAUCGUCCAGAACACCGAUAGCGAAGGCAGCUUACUAGGGAGUAACUGACGCUGAGGCACGAAAGUGUGGGGAUCAAACAGG
rnacentral:rRNA from 1 species